GCGCCCGUAGCUCAGCAGGAUAGAGCGACCGCCUCCUAAGCGGUAGGCCGUGGGUUCGAAUCCCGCC
rnacentral:tRNA from 1 species